rnacentral:rRNA from 1 species
UACGAAGGGGGCUAGCGUUGUUCGGAAUUACUGGGCGUAAAGGGCGCGUAGGCGGCGUGUCAAGUCAGGCGUGAAAGCCCCGGGCUCAACCUGGGAACCGCGCUUGAGACUGGCAUGCUCGAGUUCGGGAGAGGAUGGUGGAAUUCCCAGUGUAGAGGUGAAAUUCGUAGAUAUUGGGAGGAACACCGGUGGCGAAGGCGGCCUUCUGGACAAUGACUGACGCUGAGACGCGAAAGCGUGGGGAGCAAACAGG